rnacentral:rRNA from 1 species
GAAACCCGGUGAUCUAGCCAUGGGCAGGUUGAAGGUUGGGUAACACUAACUGGAGGACCGAACCGACUAAUGUUGAAAAAUUAGCGGAUGACUUGUGGCUGGGGGUGAAAGGCCAAUCAAACCGGGAGAUAGCUGGUUCUCCCCGAAAGCUAUUUAGGUAGCGCCUCGUGAAUUCAUCUCCGGGGGUAGAGCACUGUUUCGGCAAGGGGGUCAUCCCGACUUACCAACCCGAUGCAAACUGCGAAUACCGGAGAAUGUUAUCACGGGAGACACACGGCGGGUGCUAACGUCCGUCGUGAAGAGGGAAACAACCCAGACCGCCAGCUAAGGUCCCAAAGUCAUGGUUAAGUGGGAAACGAUGUGGGAAGGCCCAGACAGCCAGGAUGUUGGCUUAGAAGCAGCCAUCAUUUAAAGAAAGCGUAAUAGCUCACUGGUCGAGUCGGCCUGCGCGGAAGAUGUAACGGGGCUAAACCAUGCACCGAAGCUGCGGCAGCGACACUAUGUGUUGUUGGGUAGGGGAGCGUUCUGUAAGCCUGUGAAGGUGGCCUGUGAGGGUUGCUGGAGGUAUCAGAAGUGCGAAUGCUGACAUAAGUAACGAUAAAGCGGGUGAAAAGCCCGCUCGCCGGAAGACCAAGGGUUCCUGUCCAACGUUAAUCGGGGCAGGGUGAGUCGACCCCUAAGGCGAGGCCGAAAGGCGUAGUCGAUGGGAAACAGGUUAAUAUUCCUGUACUUGGUGUUACUGCGAAGGGGGGACGGAGAAGGCUAUGUUGGCCGGGCGACGGUUGUCCCGGUUUAAGCGUGUAGGCUGGUUUUCCAGGCAAAUCCGGAAAACCAAGGCUGAGGCGUGAUGACGAGGCACUACGGUGCUGAAGCGACAAAUGCCCUGCUUCCAGGAAAAGCCUCUAAGCAUCAGGUAACAUCAAAUCGUACCCCAAACCGACACAGGUGGUCAGGUAGAGAAUACCAAGGCGCUUGAGAGAACUCGGGUGAAGGAACUAGGCAAAAUGGUGCCGUAACUUCGGGAGAAGGCACGCUGAUAUGUAGGUGAAGCGACUAGCUCGUGGAGCUGAAAUCAGUCGAAGAUACCAGCUGGCUGCAACUGUUUAUUAAAAACACAGCACUGUGCAAACACGAAAGUGGACGUAUACGGUGUGACGCCUGCCCGGUGCCGGAAGGUUAAUUGAUGGGGUUAGCGGUAACGCGAAGCUCUUGAUCGAAGCCCCGGUAAACGGCGGCCGUAACUAUAACGGUCCUAAGGUAGCGAAAUUCCUUGUCGGGUAAGUUCCGACCUGCACGAAUGGCGUAAUGAUGGCCAGGCUGUCUCCACCCGAGACUCAGUGAAAUUGAACUCGCUGUGAAGAUGCAGUGUACCCGCGGCAAGACGGAAAGACCCCGUGAACCUUUACUAUAGCUUGACACUGAACAUUGAGCCUUGAUGUGUAGGAUAGGUGGGAGGCUUUGAAGUGUGGACGCCAGUCUGCAUGGAGCCGACCUUGAAAUACCACCCUUUAAUGUUUGAUGUUCUAACGUUGGCCCGUAAUCCGGGUUGCGGACAGUGUCUGGUGGGUAGUUUGACUGGGGCGGUCUCCUCCUAAAGAGUAACGGAGGAGCACGAAGGUUGGCUAAUCCUGGUCGGACAUCAGGAGGUUAGUGCAAUGGCAUAAGCCAGCUUGACUGCGAGCGUGACGGCGCGAGCAGGUGCGAAAGCAGGUCAUAGUGAUCCGGUGGUUCUGAAUGGAAGGGCCAUCGCUCAACGGAUAAAAGGUACUCCGGGGAUAACAGGCUGAUACCGCCCAAGAGUUCAUAUCGACGGCGGUGUUUGGCACCUCGAUGUCGGCUCAUCACAUCCUGGGGCUGAAGUAGGUCCCAAGGGUAUGGCUGUUCGCCAUUUAAAGUGGUACGCGAGCUGGGUUUAGAACGUCGUGAGACAGUUCGGUCCCUAUCUGCCGUGGGCGCUGGAGAACUGAGGGGGGCUGCUCCUAGUACGAGAGGACCGGAGUGGACGCAUCACUGGUGUUCGGGUUGUCAUGCCAAUGGCACUGCCCGGUAGCUAAAUGCGGAAGAGAUAAGUGCUGAAAGCAUCUAAGCACGAAACUUGCCCCGAGAUGAGUUCUCCCUGACUCCUUGAGAGUCCUGAAGGAACGUUGAAGACGACGACGUUGAUAGGCCGGGUGUGUAAGCGCAGCGAUGCGUUGAGCUAACCGGUACUAAUGAACCGUGAGGCUUAACCUUACAACGCCGAAG